CGGACUGGUGAGUAACACGUGGAUAACCUACCUAUAAGACUGGGAUAACUUCGGGAAACCGGAGCUAAUACCGGAUAAUAUAUUGAACCGCAUGGUUCAAUAGUGAAAGACGGUUUUGCUGUCACUUAUAGAUGGAUCCGCGCCGCAUUAGCUAGUUGGUAAGGUAACGGCUUACCAAGGCGACGAUGCGUAGCCGACCUGAGAGGGUGAUCGGCCACACUGGAACUGAGACACGGUCCAG
rnacentral:rRNA from 1 species